rnacentral:rRNA from 1 species
CGUAGGGAGCAAGCGUUGUUCGGAUUUACUGGGCGUAAAGGGCGCGUAGGCGGCGCGGUAAGUCACUUGUGAAAUCUCUGAGCUUAACUCAGAACGGCCAAGUGAUACUGCAGUGCUAGAGUGCAGAAGGGGCAAUCGGAAUUCUUGGUGUAGCGGUGAAAUGCGUAGAUAUCAAGAGGAACACCUGAGGUGAAGACGGGUUGCUGGGCUGACACUGACGCUGAGGCACGAAAGCCAGGGGAGCAAACGGGAUUAGAUACCCCGGUAGUCCUGGCCCUAAACGAUGAAUACUUGGUGUCUGGAGUUUCAAUACUCCGGGUGCCGUCGCUAACGUUUUUAGUAUUCCGCCUGGGGAUACGCACGCAAGUGUG